rnacentral:rRNA from 1 species
GACGAACGCUGGCGGCGUGCCUAAUACAUGCAAGUCGAGCGAAUCAUUAGGAGCUUGCUCCUGAUGGUUAGCGGCGGACGGGUGAGUAACACGUGGGCAACCUGCCUAUAAGACUGGGAUAACUUCGGGAAACCGGAGCUAAUACCGGGUAAUCCUUUUCCACACAUGUGGGAAAGCUGAAAGACGGUUUCGGCUGUCACUUAUAGAUGGGCCCGCGGCGCAUUAGCUAGUUGGUGAGGUAAUGGCUCACCAAGGCGACGAUGCGUAGCCGACCCGGGAGGGUGAUCGGCCACACUGGGACUGAGACACGGCCCAGACUCCUACGGGAGGCAGCAGUAGGGAAUCUUCCGCAAUGGACGAAAGUCUGACGGAGCAACGCCGCGUGAACGAUGAAGGCCUUCGGGUCGUAAAGUUCUGUUGUUAGGGAAGAACAAGUAUCGGAGUAACUGCCGGUACCUUGACGGUACCUAACCAGAAAGCCACGGCUAACUACGUGCCAGCCGCCGCCGUAA